ensembl:lncRNA
GUUGUUGGCAGUUUCAAAGCAGCUUUAAAAACAGUUGAUGCCUGACAGUACCUUUCUUCCUAAUAAAACGAGGCUUACAUGACUUUCCCAACAUCGUACCGCAGGUCAGUGUUAGGAAUGCAGGUCUUGGGAUCUUGUUUUCUAGCUUUCUUUGCUUUCAUUAGUAAGUCUUAGCUUCUCCCGUCUCUUGUGUUUCCCAGGUCAGGAGCCCCUUUAAUUUUGCAUUCCUCAGAAGAAUCGCUGAAGGAAUUUCAAAUCAUUGCAACAGUGAGGCAAUAAUCAGUGCUUUCAUCAAACGACGACAUUAUAUAGAAUAUUUAGACAACAGAAAUGUUCCGUAAAUUCACUACAGCAUGAACAGGAAAAUAAAAGCUCACAUUCUCCCACACAAUCUAAAGAACUGGGCACAAAGUGACAGACUGUUCCCAAACAGACUGCUCAGCUUCACUGACAGCUCUCCUGCUCAAGGGACCUUUGCUGUUGCCCUGGGAAGGUGUGCUGCAACUGAUCUAGAACUUCCUCUGUAAAUUUUGAAGCGCUUAGAAUCACAACACACCCAGCCCCUCUGGAUUAGGUGGAUGUGCCCUAACAGUCUGUACAAUGCAACAUUUCCCUAGAAGGCAAUGAAUAUGUUAUGUAACUAAAAACUGGAAUGCCCCCACUCCCUUUUUCUUCUUCCAAACUUCAGGUGCAUCGAUCUGGGCUGCGUCACACAUGGCUGUACACCUGGAAGGCAGCAUGGGAGGCUGCCGCCCCUCUGCCUCCAAUGUUCCCGUGCCAUCUGGAGCUGUGCCCCCGCUGCUCUUCACUUAGAGGAAGGGUUCCAGUACUUUGCAUUGAAUAGAGUGCCAGUGGGAACACAGCCUGCUGACCUGCAAGAAGGACAGCAGCAGGAAGCCACAAAAACUGCAAGAAGUACAGCCCCAGUGGCUGAAGCAGGUGUCUGUCCUCAGAAGAGCCACAGGACUGACUUAGCUAAAAGCUUGCUGAUUUUCCCCAAGCUGAAAUCCUUCCAACUCCUGAGCAUUUCCCAGCUGGAGGCAGCAAGAAGGUAAGGCCUCACUGGGGUCUGAUCAUGCAGUGCUAUAGUGAGAGGGUGACCCGACCUGGCUGCACAGGGGUCACCUGCAUUUCUCCUCUGGUCAGCUUAAAAUGACACGCUUGGGUGUUCUCUGUGUUUCUUUCUUCAAACUGGGACCGAGUAGGCGUGUCUUUCCUCCGUUUAUGAUGAAAGCACGGAAGGGAUGCAUACGGUUGCUUGGGUCACAAUCGUUGGCUGGAAUGGGAAGGCCUGGCCUACAGCUUGUUACCAGUCCUGGUGCUCUGCCGUGCGUGCUGCACUCGCAGACUGAGCUCUGGGCCUUCCUUUGCAGAGAUAACGCUGCGAGGUCACGUCAGAAGCAGCGCUGUGCUGUGGACGUGAGCUGGAUGCACCUUAGACUGAGCGGGCUGAACAGGUGAGUUGAAUUGGUUGCUGGAUGGGUGCUGGAAGGUGUUUCAGGAGAAAAGCCCGGAUGGGGAAAAGGUCCUUGCGCUGCCCGUGCCAGCUCACACUGCACCCUUCCAAAUGAUUGGGGCCAGGGGUAUUUGGUUCCUUUUCAGAUGCCGUAAGAGCACUGAUUUCAGAAAGAAAGAAAGAAAGAAAGAGAGCGUAUUCUCCCAGAAUGCCCCUCUUCCCCAAGAGCAGGCACGGCACAGCAGCUGUAGCAGCAGCCUUCCUCUGGCAGGGAUUCAUUCCCUGAGCCUGGGCAGCCACCAAGGAGGAAAAAGACAGAGACAACAGGAGAGCAGGUCCUCCCGGUUCAAAUACAAGAUGGAAGGAGUUAUGGAUUAAGGGAAAGCCAUCCCAUCAUAAACAGGUGCUACCUAAAAAUCAACCGUCAGUGAUUUGGGACUGGCCUCCACCUGAGCUCAUCUUUAUUGAACGGGCUGUCUCAAAGCAUGCAUGGUUGCUUCCGUGGUGUGGAACGUUUUCUUUACUGAUCCAUGGCUCGCAUGUUCUGCCUUAUCCAGCAUACGCUUAAUAAAAGCUCACACCAGUAACGGUGGUGGCAAGCCAGGCACUCAGCUGGGGGCACUGACUCUUCUGUGACGUCACCAAGCACAGCACUGUGUGCUCUGGUGACACGCAUGCGCCCUACCGCCACAGAGGCGCUGUGCAGGGCAGUGGAUGUGCCUGUCCCGUGGCUGCGCCAGCCCUCUGCUGAGGGAGCACUGUUGGCUGUGGGAGUUGGACGCGUGUUCCCAGUUCUUGCUUCCAAGUUCUACUGAAGGUUGCUUGAGCGUUGCGACAGUUCCUGUACGCAGCUGACGUCAGGGCAUUUCCCCCCUCGAGAAGCUAAUCGAGCACCAGAAGAAGGCAGGGAAAAUGCUUCUUGCUCAUUAUUUUUCACCUCUUGAUACUUUCUUUAGGGUUACUUUAUUUCCCUGAUCAAGCCAGGAGAAGGCUUCCAUUCCAAGAAGGAGCGAAGGCGGCUUUUUCCAGGAGUGGCAGCAGUCCCUGUGGAGAGAUCCUUGAGAACCUGAACUUGUUCUAGGAAUUUCUCCGGCAUGGCCAAUCAGGGAGAUGGUUCUUAUUCCCCUUCUCACUCCGCAUCUCGCAAGGUAUGCUUGGGUGUCUGUUGCUUUGUUUUUCUUGCUUUUCUUCAGUGCUAAAGAGGGAGGGGUUGAGUAGGAGGAUGCUUGCUGCUCUUUGGUUCACUUAGUAACCUCUUAGAUUCUGUCUUUGGUUCCAAGAAUGAAACCUAAUAUCAUGGUCAAUUCUCAGGCUGUGCUUUUUUGUUGUUUGUUUUUUUAAGAUUCGAUUGAAUCGAUGUGGUGAGAUGUGGAGAAAACGGAAAGCCUCCGAAGGUAAGAACUUCUUGUAAAGUAGCGUUGGGGUGCCUUCAUCCAAAUAUGACGGCAUGAAGGGCAUUUCUGAUGUAUGAGAGAGGAAAAUUGCAGUUCUGCGUCGGCUGCGGAAAUGGCAAAAUAAUAGCCAACAGCUAAGGGGCACAUGUAAUAAAAUAUGCUUGGGAAUUGGAAGACUGUGGUGGGCUGUUCUGACAUUGUCCUCCAAAGAGCUGCUCUUCAAGUAUUCCUUGUUUUCUCUUGGUCUGAAGCUGACGGGAGUGGCAUCGCGGUGAAGCGCAGCCUUGUUGAAAGUCUGGAUAAGAAGCUGGAGGUUGAUGAAGCACCAAAGAAUACUCCAGGUACUCAGCGGGCAUUGGAAUUUGAUGCACAGAUGUUCUACUUAGGCUUUGUGCUUCUUCUUUCCCGCAAUUCUUCUCUUGGCAUGUUGCUUGAGCUCUUAAGCCCUGGGAUUUGAAGUUCCCUCUGCCAUUCUGUUUUGAAAUGCGACCCCAAAGUUGGCAUUGAUGCAGCCUGUGUCCUUUGUUCCAUUCAGUUUUGGAGUGCUAGUCCCCAGCUCUGGGAAGGAGAGACUACGAUUGUCCUCCGUACAGACCAGCACACGGACAGACAGUAACUGGACAUUCUAUAUGUUAUCUGACUUACUUCCAUUCAUUUAAGAGCACUUCCAUACAGCUCUAAAAAUAGAUUUGAAAGGGUGGGAAAAAAAAAAAAAAAGCAACCUGGUUCUGCUUUCCUGGAGUGCUGAAACUCUUCUGAUGGCUGUUAUCAGAAAUCUGGUCUGGGGAUGUGGUGUUUUUCCACUCGUGCAUCUUCUGUGAACCCUCCCAGGGUGCAGUGCACUUAGGCACAGGUAGAACAGAUCCACUGCCAGGAGCAGGAGUCUGAGAUGCUAAUGGAGAGACGCAGUCAGAAAGGAACAGGAUAGGUUUGCGAUUUUGUGUAGCAGCUCU